UGACAGUUCAUGAAUUGCUUCCCGUGGCACUAUCCUUGCUGAUUCAGAGUUUGCUGAGAGUUAUGGUGAAAGUGCUUCAACAUCAGGACAAUAUAGUACAACUCUUUCAAGAUUGAAGCAAAAACUGAGUGGUUUUUGGUUGCAUGUGGUUCAGCGAUGGCCUGUGGUAUAUUUAUCCUCAAUAAUUUUUGUAAAACUGUUACAGUUAUAUACUAUUCUACUAUUUGUUCUCCCUUCAAAAUUGUUUUGAUAAUCAGGUUGUUAAUCCCAAGCUCCUUACUUGUUUUGAUAA